UGGGGAAUAUUGCACAAUGGGGGAAACCCUGAUGCAGCGACGCCGCGUGAGUGAAGAAGUAUUUCGGUAUGUAAAGCUCUAUCAGCAGGGAAGAACAUGACGGUACCUGACUAAGAAGCCCCGGCUAACUACGUGCC
rnacentral:rRNA from 1 species